AUUUUACUUUAAAAAAAAGUAAUUUUCAGUUCAUACUAUGAGUAGUAAAGUUGUAAUUGUUUUCAAUUCAUAUGAUGAGUGGGGAAAUCAUAGUUGUUUGCAGUUCGUACUACGAGUAGUAGUGAAAUAAUUUUAUUUCCUCACCUUCAUUAUUUGAUGUUUUUCUUCAAAUUUUGUUUCUCCUAAAUCUUAUCAUCCAAAACCAUUGUGGAGUAUGUCAUUGUGCCCUGACAUGAUUCAGGAGACAACUCAAAAAACCUUCAAGACUGUAAUAAUGAAAAUGAAAUGUACAAGCUUUUCAAAAUCAUUUCUUUGAGAUGAAUUAUCCAAGGAUUUAAUUGUCCCAUCUGUUGGGCUGUGUUACAGUGUGAUUGUGAUGUCCCCCACAGGUGCAUGUCUUAAAUUAUGGCCCCCCCAGAUUGGCAGUGUGAUUAUGAAAGGUUAUGAGGUGAGACUGACCUGGAGGACAGACAUCACUGAGAGAGGGUCCUUAGUGGGUGGUUUGGCUCUGGCCCCUUCCUGUCUCUUUCCCUGCUCCCUGUCAGCCAUGAAGUAAAGAACUGUCUCUGCACUAAAGCUACUGCCAUCAUGGUUCUCUAUCCAAACCCAUGAAUCAAGUGACCAUGCACCAAAAACAUCAAUGCCAUCAUCCAAAUGAAUGCCUCCCCACUUAUGUUAUGAUAUCGAACACAGAGAUGAUGAAAGUAAUUCAUAUAGAUAUGUAGAGCUGGACUAUGUAGUCUGCCACACACUGAGGACUCUAAACACAGCUGGUUUGAUUUGAGGUGAGGUACAAAUAUAAAAUACAUGCUAAUUUGUUUUAAGGACUUACUGAAAAAAAAAUAAGAAUGUAAAAUAUUCAUAACUUUUUGGUAGGUAGCACACAAGAUACUACUAUUUUUAACAUAGUGUAAUACAAUGUCACUAAAAUUAAAUUAUUUGUUGCUAUUUAUGUUUUUAAAAUAUAACAUAGCAAUAGUUUUGUUAAUGUCCAUUGGACAUUGCUGCUUUAAAUAAACUAAAAUUUCUAGGUAUUUUUCUGGAUACAAUUGAAGUAUAUUACCCAUUGAGAUGCAGUGUAGCUAGUUUGGUUUUUUUUUUAACAUUUUUUAAUUGAUUCUUUGGGAAUUUCAUAUCAUGCACUGCAAUCCUACUCAUUUAUCAGCCCUUCCAUAUCUGCCCACCAUACCUCACUAAAUGAAAAUAAAAAAGAAAAAUAUAAAUAAACAACUGAUAAAACCUCCCACCACCUCUCUGGGCAGUGACCUAUUCUUCUGCCAAAGGCAGCUUCUCUCACAUGUUACAGCUGCUGUGAGCCCAGCUCCGUCUCACUCUACCACUCCAUCCUGCUAUCUCUCCCACCUCUCUAUCACCUAUCCACUCGUUGUAGUGGCACCGGCCACUGCAGUGUGCUAUGCAGGACAUUCCUUGCCCAAACAGCUUUACUUCCCAAUAUUCACUGCAGUGAGUCACUGGUCUGGUUUGAAGCCUCUGGCUUCAACUCCACUAUCAGUACUGGAUCCUCACCAGUAU
rnacentral:lncRNA from 1 species